rnacentral:piRNA from 1 species
UGGUGACAAUGAUCCAGGUC